rnacentral:rRNA from 1 species
UACGUAGGGCGCAAGCGUUGUCCGGAAUUAUUGGGCGUAAAGAGCUCGUAGGCGGCCUGUUGCGUCCACGUGUGAAAUCCCGGGCUCAACCCCGGGCCUGCAGUGGAUACGGGCUGGCGUAGAGGCAGGCAGGGAGAACGGAAUUCCUGGUGUAGCGGUAGAAAUGCGCAGAUAUCAGGAGGAACCACCGGUGGCGAAGGCGGGUCGUCUGGGCCGAUACUGACGCUGAGGAGCGAAAGCGUGGGGAGCGAACAGG